rnacentral:rRNA from 1 species
AUUGAACGCUGGCGGCAGGCCUAACACAUGCAAGUCGAACGGUAACAGGAAGAAGCUUGCUUCUUUGCUGACGAGUGGCGGACGGGUGGGUAAUGUCUGGGAAACUGCCUGAUGGAGGGGGAUAACUACUGGAAACGGUAGCUAAUACCGCAUAACGUCGCAAGACCAAAGAGGGGGACCUUCGGGCCUCUUGCCAUCGGAUGUGCCCAGAUGGGAUUAGCUAGUUGGUGGGGUAACGGCUCACCAAGGCGACGGUCCCUAGCUGGUCUGAGAGGAUGACCAGCCACAAUGGAACUGAGACACGGUCCAGACUCCUACGGGAGGCAGCAGUGGGGAAUAUUGCACAAUGGGCGCAAGCCUGAUGCAGCCAUGCCGCGUGUAUGAAGAAGGCCUUCGGGUUGUAAAGUACUUUCAGCGGGGAGGAAGGGAGUAAAGUUAAUACCUUUGCUCAUUGACGUUACCCGCAGAAGAAGCACCGGCUAACUCCGUGCCAGCAGCCGCAGUAA